GCGGGUGUAGUUCAAUGGUAGAACACGUGCUUCCCAAGCAUGAUACGUCAGUUCGAUUCUGAUCACCCGCUCCA
rnacentral:tRNA from 1 species